rnacentral:ncRNA from 1 species
GAGCCGUGUGAUGGGAAACUGUCACGCACGGUUUUGUAUGGGAGGGGGUAGAGGCGACUCUACUCUCGACCCCUAC